GACGAACGCUGGCGGCGUGCUUAACACAUGCAAGUCGAACGGAAAGGCUUCAGCUUGCUGGAGUACUCGAGUGGCGAACGGGUGAGUAACACGUGGGUAAUCUGCCCUGCACUCUGGGAUAAGCCUGGGAAACUGGGUCUAAUACUGGAUAUGACCUUUCUCCUUAUGGGGUUUGGUGGAAAGUUUUUCGGUGUAGGAUGAGCCCGCGGCCUAUCAGCUUGUUGGUGGGGUGAUGGCCUACCAAGGCGACGACGGGUAGCCGGCCUGAGAGGGUGAUCGGCCACAUUGGGACUGAGAUACGGCCCAGACUCCUACGGGAGGCAGCAGUGGGGAAUAUUGCACAAUGGGCGGAAGCCUGAUGCAGCGACGCCGCGUGAGGGAUGACGGCCUUCGGGUUGUAAACCUCUUUCAGCAGGGACGAAGCGUAAGUGACGGUACCUGCAGAAGAAGCACCGGCUAACUAUGUG
rnacentral:rRNA from 1 species